rnacentral:rRNA from 1 species
AGCAGCCGCGGUAAUUCCAGCUCCAAUAGCGUAUAUUAAAGUUGUUGCAGUUAAAAAGCUCGUAGUUGAAUUUCGGGGUUAGUAGAUUGGUCAUGCCUCUGGUAUGUACUGGUCUCACUGAUUCCUCCUUCCUGAUGAACCUUAAUGCCAUUAAUUUGGUGUUUUGGGGAAUUUGGACUGUUACUUUGAAAAAAUUAGAGUGUUUAAAGCAAGCUAACGCUUGAAUACAUUAGCAUGGAAUAAUGAAAUAGGACGUUCGAUCCUAUUUUGUUGGUUUCUAGGAUUGACGUAAUGAUUAAUAGGGAUAGUUGGGGGCAUUAGUAUUCAAUUGUCAGAGGUGAAAUUCUUGGAUUUAUUGAAGACUAACUACUGCGAAAGCAUUUGCCAAGGAUGUUUUCAUUAAUCAAGAACGAAAGUUAGGGGAUCGAAGACGAUCAGAUACCGUCGUAGUCUUAACCAUAAACUAUGCCGACUAGGGAUCGGAUGAUGUUAAUUUUUUAAUGACU